GUUCUGUUGUCAACCUCCUACAAGAAUCCUCUUCAGCUGAAUGUCAUCUUUGAUGCAUGUCACCACUUGAAUCAACAAGUGUCACUUCUGUUAUCAGCAAAGCCUAUUGCUCCAAGGUCCUGCUUCACAGAAAGAGAAACCACACGGUCAAGGCCACAGCUUCUAGAUGAGACAUCUGAAGCCCAGGAACCAAAUGAGCCGCUGAGAGUCAACUCGUGAAAGACACCCCCCUUCUGGAGAGCAACGACCACAUCGGUUGGAUUCCUUCAGCAUCAACUGCAAAGAUACCUCAGGGCCAAAGUAUGGGACAGGGAAGAUGCUCACUAGACUAG
rnacentral:lncRNA from 1 species